AGCCUCGUUUACACGAGCAAAUUUUAUUUGACAAAUUUCAUUUGAUCAAAUGCAUUUGACCAAAAGCUAGCAUGCUAGCUUUUGAUCAAAUGCAUUUGUCACAAUAAAUUUAUCACAAAUCUGUGCAAAAUAUCUUUGACAUAUGAAAUUUGUCAAAUAAAAUUUGCUCGUGUAAACGGGGCU